CCUACGGGAGGCAGCAGUGGGGAAUUUUCCGCAAUGGGCGCAAGCCUGACGGAGCAAGACCGCGUGAGGGAAGAAGGUCUGUGGAUUGUAAACCUCUUUUGAUAGGGAAGAAGACAGUGACGGUACCUAUCGAAUCAGCCUCGGCUAACUCCGUGCCAGCAGCCGCGGUAAUACGGAGGAGGCAAGCGUUAUCCGGAAUUAUUGGGCGUAAAGAGUCCGUAGGUGGGUAACCAAGUCAGUUGUUAAAACGUGAAGCUUAACUUCAUAGCGGCGACUGAAACUGGUUGUCUAGAGUGUGGUAGGGGUAGAGGGAAUUUCCAGUGUAGCGGUGAAAUGCGUAGAUAUUGGAAAGAACACCGGUGGCGAAAGCGCUCUACUGGGCCUGCACUGACACUGAGGGACGAAAGCUAGGGGAGCGAAAGGGAUUAGAUACCCUUGUAGUC
rnacentral:rRNA from 1 species